GAUAAGAAAAAAAUACCCAAACCCAAGUCCGUGAGACACAAGGAAAAGGCAAACAAACAACUCUGUGCCACUUAGUUGUAUUAUGCCACAGUUCUCUUUAACUGUCCUGACUCAGUUUCCUUGUACAAGUUUCCCUUGUCUCAGUCUUCCUAAUUACUUCCCUAAACUGUAAAUCUCUCUCUGGUCCAUGAAGGCUGAGGACCAAUUAGUCUAAGGAUAUAAAUUGUUAACCCAAGCAAGAUAAACAAGAGAGUAGACUUCCUGAUUAUCUUCUGUCCUUGAGAAUUUACAACAUCCCUCUAAAAUAUUCCAAGGUAUUUCACUAACAUCUUUAUCUCUGGGUAUUCAGACAUCCUGUCUCUGGGUUCCUCUUUGAUUCACAGCCUUUUCCAGCUGGGCUUCCUGCUCUUUCCUACUCUUUCUCUCUUCUUUGUCUCCAAAAGGUAUAUAAAGGUUAGAGAUUCUCCAUUCAUUGCUGGAGAAUGGCGGCUGGCGGUGGAUGCUGGACGCUGGAUUCUUUGAGAUGAUAGUCUCCUCCAGACCUGGGACCAACAUGAAUUCCUUGGUCCCAGUAUAUCUUUAUCUCUGUCUGACUGGAUAAUUUGAGACGAGAGUCCUGUCCAGUCAAUCUUACUCUCCCAUUAAUAAAAUAUUAAAAACUCUCUAA